UUUUAACGCUGAGGUGUGAUGACGAGGCACUACGGUGCUGAAGUAACAAAUGCCCUGCUUCCAGGAAAAGCCUCUAAGCAUCAGGUAACAUCAAAUCGUACCCCAAACCGACACAGGUGGUCAGGUAGAGAAUACCAAGGCGCUUGAGAGAACUCGGGUGAAGGAACUAGGCAAAAUGGUGCCGUAACUUCGGGAGAAGGCACGCUGAUAUGUAGGUGA
rnacentral:rRNA from 1 species